UGGUAGCUCCUAGUCGACCUCAGCAUGGAUGUCCAGCCCUCCUGCGCCUCUCCAGUCGGCCUUGUGCGAUCGGAGGUGGGCACACAUGACCUGGUCCAAUCAAAAAAGGCACCCGGUUUCUGUGGACAUACGGACAUACCAGGAUCGCGCGAACGUGGAGAAGCCGAACGUGGAGGAGCGAGGAAGAACCCCGCUGGGCUAAGAGGAAGGGACAAGCUUGAAUCCACACUCACCUGUCUGAAAGCAUGAAGGCAACAGCCAACGAUAUAAAAGUAAUGCAUGCUCACUCUAAAAGGAAUUUGGAAGAUACAAUUGUAUGAUAAAUAUUGCUGCAGUCCUGGGGUAAUACAAUGGCUAAAUCGUGGAAGGAGCCGAGAUGCCCUUCAACAGAUGACUGGAUAAAGAAGCUGUGGUCCAUAUAUACAAUGGAAUAUUACUCAGCUAUCAGA